rnacentral:sRNA from 1 species
AGCAAGGCCAGCAUGCGCUGGGCU